rnacentral:misc_RNA from 1 species
AGGUGAACCUGCGGAAGGAUCAUUACAGAGUAAACUUGAUGGGUUGUUGCUGGCUCUUACCUGAGCAUGUGCACGCCUGUCAUUUUUAUCUUUCCACCAUGUGCACCCUGUGUAGGUCUUGAAAAGACAAUAAGCCUAACCUUCGGGUUACUGGGGUGUUGCUGUUCUUUUUUGAAUAGCUUGUCCUAUCUUUGGCUGUCUUUUCAGAUUCUACGAUUUAUAUAUACACCUAUGUAUGUUAAAGAACGUUAUUGAUAUGGGCCCAUGAAGCCUAUAAACCUAUAAAACAACUUUCAGCAACGGAUCUCUUGGCUCUCG